rnacentral:rRNA from 1 species
UACGGAGGGUGCAAACGUUGCUCGGAAUCAUUGGGCGUAAAGCGCACGUAGGUGGCCUGUUAAGUCGGGUGUGAAAGCCCUCGGCUCAACCGAGGAAGUGCAUUCGAAACUAGCAGGCUUGAGUAUGGAAGAGGGUCGUGGAAUUCCCGGUGUAGAGGUGAAAUUCGUAGAUAUCGGGAGGAACACCAGUGGCGAAGGCGGCGACCUGGGCCAAUACUGACACUGAGGUGCGAAAGCGUGGGGGA